CAGCCGUAAACUAUGCGCGUUAGGUGUAUCGGUGACCACGAGUCACCGAGGUGCCGAAGGGAAACCGUGAAACGUGCCGCCUGGGAAGUACGGUCGCAAGGCUGAAACUUAAAGGAAUUGGCGGGGGAGGCACUACAACGGGUGGAGCCUGCGGUUUAAUUGGACUCAACGCCGGGAAGCUCACCGGAUAAGACAGCGGAAUGAUUGCCGGGCUGAAGACUCUGCAUGACUAGCUGAGAGGAGGUGCAUGGCGUAGACGUCU
rnacentral:rRNA from 1 species